UACGUAGGGCGCAAGCGUUGUCCGGAAUUAUUGGGCGUAAAGGGCUCGUAGGCGGUCUGUCGCGUCGGGAGUGAAAACUCAGGGCUUAACCCUGAGCCUGCUUCCGAUACGGGCAGACUAGAGGUAUGCAGGGGGAGAACGGAAUUCCUGGUGUAGCGGUGAAAUGCGCAGAUAUCAGGAGGAACACCGGUGGCGAAGGCGGUUCUCUGGGCAUUACCUGACGCUGAGGAGCGAAAGUGUGGGGAGCGAACAGG
rnacentral:rRNA from 1 species